rnacentral:rRNA from 1 species
UGGGGGAUAUUGCACAAUGGGCGAAAGCCUGAUGCAGCGACGCCGCGUGGGGGAUGAAGGCCUUCGGGUUGUAAACUUCUUUUGCUCUGAACAAGGCGCACCAUGGGGUGUGUUGAGUGUAGGGGUUGAUUAGCGCCGGCUAACUACGUGCCAGCAGCCGCGGUAAUACGUAGGGCGCGAGCGUUGUCCGGAAUUAUUGGGCGUAAAGGGCUUGUAGGUGGCUGGUUGCGUCUGUCGUGAAAGCUCAUGGCUUAACUGUGGGUUUGCGGUGGGUACGGGCUGGCUUGAGUGCAGUAGGGGAGGCUGGAAUUCCUGGUGUAGCGGUUGAAUGCGCAGAUAUCAGGAGGAAUACCGGUGGCGAAGGCGGGUCUCUGGGCUGUUACUGACACUGAGGAGCGAAAGCAUGGGGAGCGGACAGG